ensembl:lincRNA
UUCUUUCUUUCUUUCUUUCUUCCUUUCUUUCUUUCUUUCUUCUUUCUUUCUUUCAUACCGGGCAUCAAACUCAGGUCCCUCCAGGCAGCAGAACCACUGAGCCAAAUCCAUGGCCCUCUACAUAAAUUUUUAGAAACUGAUCAGUAUCCUCUCUCUCUCUCUAAUCAAUAGUGUAUAUCAUUAGGAGAAUCAACAUCUUUUCAAUAUUGAGCCUGCUCAUUAAUGAAGGUGUUAUAUCUCUCUGUCAAUUAGACCUCCUCUAAUUUUUUUGCAGUACAGUUGUAGGAUACAUUCCAUAAAGAUUUUGCACAUUUUUAAAGAUAUAGUAUUUGUUUUUCACUUUUUGGGGAGCCAAAGUCUUGCUAUGUCGUCCGCACUGGCCUCAAGCUUGAGACCCUCCUGCCUCAGUCUCCUGAGUGCUGGGACUACAGGUGUGCACCACCACGCCUGCUGAUUAGAGUUGCUGAUACUUCCUUCCUUACAAUGUACUCACGGUGGUAAGGGGCUGGGGUCGGUGUGCUUGGCUUCUCUACUCAUCUGUGAGCUCCCGGAAGGCCUGUUCCACAUGGAUCCCUGGAACCUGCGCCCCAGACUCCAACACUGAGCUGAAUGCCACAGGUGGGGAACUUUUUGCCCAGAGGGGUUUGAGGUUUCGAUGUCUGCCGGUAGGAGGAUGACCAAGACUCUAAUCCCACGGGGGAUGGAAAAUAAACAAGAAUGCGUCAAGGGAGUGCAAAGCUAAGUAAAUAGAAAAUCCACCCUAUAAUGACUGAGCUGGGUGCGCUCAUUUCUGGACAACGCCCUGCCUGCUUGCUCAGGCCCCUGCCUGCCAGAGCCUGGGAACCGCCUGGGGAAGCUGUCAUUUCCACGAUCAAGGUGUUUCAGGUUAAGAUAAUUAACAUCGAGGUGCAGCUUCUCAGGAUGCUGAGACUCCUUCAAAGACCCAAGAGAGGUUCAAAAAAGAACUGGACUGACGGAGCUUUCACGCUGAAGUGCUGCAGUCCCUCAAACACCGCACUCAGAGGGCUGGACGGUGGGCCUGGUGAAGCUCCUCACCGCCCCGGAGCUCGGGACCCAGGGCGGGGACCACCGGCCCGUGGUGGUGGCCAGCUGGGGACACUGUGAUCUGCUUUGUUCUUCUGUGGCCGGACCUCUGACGUGUUCAGCUGUGACCUGCAGUGGACAAGAGACUCCGCAGGUGGCUGUGCACAAAAUGGAGCCAAACACGCCUGUCUUCUUAGCGUUCUUGGGCAAGCUGCCUCAGGUUAUGUCCUCCCGUCCACGGCGCACCGGGCACCGUGCCAGGCGCCUGGCUGAUGAUCUUCCACGGCUUACAGCAACCCCCCAGUACAGGUGCAAUCACUUUCUUCAUCUUGCUAACAGCUCAGAGAGGGCUGGGAGCUAAUCCAAGGUCACACAGCUGGCAAACAGCCACGCCAGGAAGCACUUCGUGGUACGUUUGCUCUGUGCCACCACUGUGGGCACUUGUGGCCCGGGACAUGUGUUCAAUAAACACGGAACAAAUAGACGAGACUGUCCCGGAGACUGGGCUCCCUCAUUAGCAACAAGCAGGUACAGGUUGGCACAUAAAAAGGCAGCUUUUAUUGGCUGAUGAGUUGCUUCCCCACCCACGGACCGGGAAGCAGGAAAAGCAGAGACACUUCCGCAAACGGCUUCAUCUGGCAGCCCAUGAUUAAGGGAUUCCCUCCCUGCUCGGCUGACACUGAAGAAGCCCUGCACCUCUUCGUCUCUCCACACAACCCCUCCCUGCAGCUGUGGAUGAGCGUGUGAGGCCUGGAGCCACAGCACGCACGGCAGGGAGAGGAGUACCAGGGACACCGGGAGGGACGGCAGGGG